rnacentral:rRNA from 1 species
GUGCCAGCAGCCGCGGUAAUACGUAUGUGGCGCAAGCGUUAUCCGGAAUUAUUGGGCGUAAAGAGCUCGUAGGCGGUUUGUCGCGUCUGCUGUGAAAACCCGAGGCUCAACCUCGGGCCUGCAGUGGGUACGGGCAGACUAGAGUGCGGUAGGGGAGAUUGGAACUCCUGGUGUAGCGGUGGAAUGCGCAGAUAUCAGGAAGAACACCGAUGGCGAAGGCAGAUCUCUGGGCCGUAACUGACGCUGAGGAGCGAAAGGGUGGGGAGCAAACAGGCUUAGAUACCCUGGUAGUCCACCCCGUAAACGUUGGGAACUAGUUGUGGGGUCCAUUCCACGGAUUCCGUGACGCAGCUAACGCAUUAAGUUCCCCGCCUGGGGAGUACGGCCGCAAGGCUAAAACUCAAAGGAAUUGACGGGGACCCGCACAAGCGGCGGAGCAUGCGGAUUAAUUCGAUGCAACGCGAAGAACCUUACCAAGGCUUGACAUAUAGAGGAAACGUCUGGAAACAGUCGCCCCGCAAGGUCUCUAUACGGGUGGUGCAUGGUUGUCGUCAGCUCGUGUCGUGAGAUGUUGGGUUAAGUCCCGCAACGAGCGCAACCCUCGUUCUAUGUUGCCAGCACGUAAUGGUGGGAACUCAUGGGAUACUGCCGGGGUCAACUCGGAGGAAGGUGGGGAUGACGUCAAAUCAUCAUGCCCCUUAUGUCUUGGGCUUCACGCAUGCUACAAUGGCCGGUACAAAGGGCUGCAAUACCGUAAGGUGAGCGAAUCCCAAAAGCCGGUCCCAGUUCGGAUUGAGGUCUGCAACUCGACCUCAUGAAGUCGGAGUCGCUAGUAAUCGCAGAUCAGCAACGCUGCGGUGAAUA